CUACACCAUUAGGUGUAGUGGUAGGAGAGCGUUCUAAGGGCGUUGAAGGUCGAUCGUGAGGACGGCUGGAGCGCUUAGAAGUGAGAAUGCCGGUAUGAGUAGCGAAAGACAGGUGAGAAUCCUGUCCACCGUAUGACUAAGGUUUCCUGGGGAAGGCUCGUCCGCCCAGGGUUAGUCGGGACCUAAGCCGAGGCCGAUAGGCGUAGGCGAUGGACAACAGGUUGAUAUUCCUGUACCAGUUGUUUUUGUUUGAGCAAUGGAGGGACGCAGUAGGCUAAGGAAUGCAUGCGAUUGGAAGUGCAUGUCCAAGCAAUGAGUCUUGAGUAGAGUUAAAUGCUUUACUCUCUAAGGACAAGUUGUGACGGGGAGCGAAAUAAUAGUAGCGAAGUUCCUGAUGUCACACUGCCAAGAAAAGCUUCUAGUGAGAAAACAACUGCCCGUACCGUAAACCGACACAGGUAGUCGAGGAGAGUAUCCUAAGGUGAGCGAGCGAACUCUCGUUAAGGAACUCGGCAAAAUGACCCCGUAACUUCGGGAGAAGGGGUGCUGACUUCGGUCAGCCGCAGUGAAUAGGCCCAAGCGACUGUUUAUCAAAAACACAGGUCUCUGCAAAAUCGUAAGAUGAAGUAUAGGGGCUGACGCCUGCCCGGUGCUGGAAGGUUAAGAGGAUGGGUUAGCUUCGGCGAAGCUCA
rnacentral:rRNA from 1 species